GUAUUUCAUAAAAUGUUUUCUUUAUUGAUAGUAAAAAUGAAAGUACAUGAAAUGUGCAUUUUGGACGUUCUAGCGUGCAGAGGUUAAGUCAAUAAACGUACACACAGGCUGAUCGGGCUACUGAUACUAGUAUGUUUGCAUGGACAGGAAAAAGAUCCCUCCAUAUUCCAUGCAGAUUAUGUUUUACCUUCAUGUUCACAUAGAAAUCUGUUCAAAAAAAGAGUGGAUGCAGUCCUCACAGGAAGUAGGAAAAUAAUAAUAAUAAUAAUAAUAAUAAUAAUAAUAAUAAUAAUAAUAAUAAUUGCACUGUUUAAUUAAACAACUGAUAAGGAUACAUAGACAGGAAGGAAUGUAUGUAUGUUAAUUUAUCAGGUUAUGAUAUUACAUGAUGUUCAAUGGAUUCAAUAGCAUUACUGGCUCAUUUUACUCCAUCCCAAAGUGUGGUGAACAUUUUAUAAAGAAAAUUGUUUGUUAAUUAUUCAUAGUUCCAAAUCAACACAUUCUGACUCAAUUCUGUCUUUCAUAAACUUUUGUUUUCUACCUGAGUUUUAAACCUGCCUUAAAGAUGGUUUAUUAAGGUAGCCCUUUAACAAUGAUUGAAGAUUUUUUUUUUUUUUUUUUUUUUUUUUAUAUUAUUGUCACAAGAAAGAAGUAACCAGUCCUACCAAAAGCCAGAUGUAUGGUAUGGAGAAAGAGAAGGGAAGUGGGUCCCUUGUGAGUGGCCACUGUUAUGUUGGAUAAGCAUCACCUCAGUGCCCUUCAGUGAACACCAAGCGGAUGAGCACUUCAGCUGUCACUGGCUAACUGCAUUAAUAGAAACUGCCCUUUACACACAUCUGUGACUAAGAUUCACGCAGUUACAGAUUGGUGUCAAAGAACAUUACAUCGCCAUCCAGACACUGGCUUCUAAACACCACUCAAAGCUGAUAUAUGUAGUGGUCAUUUAACACCUAUACCUAUGCUGAAUAUAUAUUUAUACUUGAAUGAUACUCAAAAAUGGCAAUAAUGACAACAUCACCAUUUCCUUUAGAACAAAACUGCUUCAAUUAUUGUCACUGCAUAUGAAACAAUUGUAAUAAGUCAAGCAUGAGUACUUUUUAAUAAAAGAAAUCCAUUUGGCAGACCAAAAAGCCAUGUGAGAGAAACUAGACGUGAAGAAAUGCAGAGUCUUCCGAGUAUGUGCCUAUUUUUGUGACAACAUGCCUAAGCAGUCCAGGGUACUUCUGCCGUUUAAAUAUUAAUUUAAAAAUAGCUGAAAUAGCUCAGUGGCAAACCAAAAGGUGAAAGGAAUAUUUUUGGUACAAAGCAUCUACAAAAAAGCAGUACAAGUAUAAUGGGAAAAGGAGAGCAUAUAAAAUAAAUUCCAUCAGUUGAGCAUCAGUGCUAUGUAUAUUACUGUAUUUGGACCAAUUUUCAUAUAUAUAUAUUUUUUAUAACAAAAUAAAUAAUGCCUUUAUACAGUGCCCAUAUUUGUACUUAAACAAACAAACAAAAAGCUUGGCGGCUCAUUAUGCAAGAUACAGCUCAGACUAAAAGAAUAUAACAUGAC
ensembl:lncRNA